AUUGAACGCUGGCGGCAUGCCUUACACAUGCAAGUCGAACGGCAGCGCGGGAGCAAUCCUGGCGGCGAGUGGCGAAAGGGUGAGUAAUAUAUCGGAACGUGCCCAGUAGUGGGGGAUAGCCCGGCGAAAGCCGGAUUAAUACCGCAUACGACCUGAGGGUGAAAGGGGGGGAUCGCAAGACCUCUCGAUAUUUGAGCGGCCGAUAUCAGAUUAGGUAGUUGGUGGGGUAAAGGCCUACCAAGCCUGCGAUCUGUAGUUGGUCUGAGAGGACGACCAGCCACACUGGGACUGAGACACGGCCCAGACUCCUACGGGAGGCAGCAGUGGGGAAUUUUGGCCAAUGGGCGCAAGCCUGAUCCAGCAAUGCCGCGUGCAGGAAGCAGGCCUUCGGGUUGUAAACUGCUUUUGUCAGGGAAGAAAUCCUCUAGGCUAAUACCUUGGGGGGAUGACGGUACCUGAAGAAUAAGCACCGGCUAACUACGUGCCAGCCGCCGCCGUAAGAC
rnacentral:rRNA from 1 species